GGCAUAGUAGCUCAGUUGGUUAGAGCGAACGGUUCAUACCCGUUAGGUCACUGGUUCGACUCCAGUCUAUGCCA
rnacentral:tRNA from 3 species